AUGAAGGAUUGGAAAUCCUGCCCAACACGGAGAUCUGUCAGCAAAGAGAUGGACUGCAGCCCCGGCGACACAGGCAGCUGGAGGAGAGCGUGCGUGUGCACGUGCGUGCCCCUGCAGGGAGUGCGAGGGGGUGAACUUCAGGGCCUGGCUUGGGGGGCCAGUUGUGCUCCUCUCGAGUGUUUUCCAUUUGUGUGGUCGGAAACCCUUCCCGAUACCUCGGGUGGCCUCGGAUCCUUCCCUGCAGGCAGCCAUCUUCAGGGCUGA
rnacentral:lncRNA from 1 species